GAACCGGCCGGACUCAGGAAAAUAUUGAUAAAACCUUUCCCUUCGGUAUUCUGUAUAUUUUAAUUCGUAAGUGUAAAUGAUAUUAUAUUUUUUUUAGUAGGUAUUGAAUAUAUUAAAUACUACGGUUACCCAUAGACGGUAUAUGUAUAUUAUAUAAAUUUCCUGAAGUCGCAUUUACGCUUUACUAUUUGUACGCCUUUAACAGGCACCAACGACUAUUAUUUUGGGUGUGGGAAAAAAUGUCAAAAUAUUGAAAAAAGACACAUACAUAAUUUGUGUUAAAAAAAGGUAAUAUUUUAAGUCCGAGCAUGUGUGAUUAUUAUAUAUAAACAUUACUUAUUAUUUUGUUAUGUUUAAAAACUGGAAGAAAAAUUAAUUUUUUUUUAUUCAUAUUUAGAUUGUCAAUUCAUUGUAAGAAAAGUUGAAGAAUAUGGUAUACUUACUCAUAGAUAGGUAACCUAUAAUAAAUGUAUCAAAACAAAAUAAUUAAAUUGUAAGACAUAAGUAAGUAAUUGUUUUGUUGUAUCAAUUUUAAAUUCUGAAUUAGUUUGGAAAUAAUUUUAUUCAUAUUAUGUACUUAAUUAGCUGAUCUGUUUAAUAUGAGUAAGUAAUUUAAUUUAAAUAAUGCUCUGUCAUAUUAAUGACUUAAUGGAAUGGUUUUAUGUAGUGAUUAAAAUAACUUGAGAACAUCUAAGAGGACCGUAGACUGAUGGUAGUCUUUCUUUUUUUAAAAGAGAUGUGUUUAUUACUAAACAUUUCUCUUCUCGGCAGUUAUUUUAGUAACAUCAUUACAUACAUCAAUCUUAACUGUUUGAUUUUUAAACUUUUGUAGAGCAAUUUUGGGAUUUAUUAGAAAAUCGGAAGCUGAAGAGAUGUUGACAAGAUAUGCAAUUGGCACAUUUUUAUUAAGAUUUUAAGAUUCAGAAAUAGACGGCCAACUGUUGCCUGUGCUGGAUGUAAGUUAUAUUUUAGAUAAAUGGGUUUUAAUAAUAAUUUAGUUCUAUUUAUUUUUACCAGCUAAUAAGGUUGGUAUAUAUAGUUUGCAUCCAUUCUCAGCCAAAGAUUUAUCAAUUCGGAACUUGGCUGAUAGAUUAUUAGAUUUACCAUAUCUAACAAUGGUGUAUCCUAGUAUUGACAAAAACCAAGCUUUUGAAAAAUACUACACGGACCCUCUGAGUAUUUAUAUAAUUUUUAUCUUUAAUAUUAGUUUUAUUUGUUUCAUGCACAUAUUAUGUAAUAUGUUUAUACUAUAAACUUGUAUUCAUUAUAAUUGGAGACCGG